AUUGAACGCUGGCGGCAUGCUUUACACAUGCAAGUCGAACGGCAGCGCGGGCUUCGGCCUGGCGGCGAGUGGCGAACGGGUGAGUAAUACAUCGGAACGUGCCCAGUAGUGGGGGAUAGCUCGGCGAAAGCCGGAUUAAUACCGCAUACGACCUGAGGGUAAAAGCGGGGGAUCUUCGGACCUCGCGCUAUUGGAGCGGCCGAUGGCAGAUUAGCUAGUUGGUGGGGUAAAGGCCUACCAAGGCGACGAUCUGUAGCUGGUCUGAGAGGACGACCAGCCACACUGGGACUGAGACACGGCCCAGACUCCUACGGGAGGCAGCAGUGGGGAAUUUUGGACAAUGGGCGAAAGCCUGAUCCAGCAAUGCCGCGUGUGUGAUGAAGGCCUUCGGGUUGUAAAGCACUUUUGGCGGGAACGAAAAGGACUGUGCCAAUACCACGGUUCGAUGACGGUACCCGCAGAAUAAGCACCGGCUAACUACGUG
rnacentral:rRNA from 1 species